CCUACGGGAGGCUGCAGUGGGGAAUAUUGGACAAUGGGGGAAACCCUGAUCCAGCAAUGCCGCGUGUGUGAAGAAGGCCUGCGGGUUGUAAAGCACUUUCGGUUGGGAAGAAAAGUUUGGCGCCAAUACCGCCGAACCUUGACGUUACUGACAGAAGAAGCACCGGCUAACUCUGUGCCAGCAGCCGCGGUAAUACAGAGGGUGCAAGCGUUAGUCAGAAUCACUGAGGGUGACACGUGCGUAGGGGGUCAAAUCCCCGUGCUUAACCUGGGAACUGCAUUCGAUACUGCAUGGCUAGAGUAUGGUAGAGGGAAGUGGAAUUUCCGGUGUAGCGGUGAAAUGCGUAGAUAUCGGAAGGAACACCAAUGGCGAAGGCAGCUUCCUGGACUAAUACUGACGCUGAGGCACGAAAGCGUGGGUAGCAAACAGGAUUAGAUACCCUAGUAGUC
rnacentral:rRNA from 1 species